CGGGCAUGUCGGUGGAGGAGGUGCUUAGCACCCAGAUAGCCCACCUGGCCAGGCUGCAGCUGGAGCAGAUGGUGGAGGGCAGCCUGCAGGCCGGCAGCCCACAAGGCAUUGUGGGGAUGCUUAAACGGCACGAGUUGGAGCGCCAGAAGGCCUUGGCCCUGCAGCACUCAUGGAAGCAGGGGGAGCCUUUGAUUGCGACCUCCGAGGAGCUGAAGGCCACCCCUGAGAUUCCGCAGGUAAAACCGGGAAGCUCAGAGGGAGAGGCUGAGGCCCCUGAGGAGGAGGAAGAAAAGGAGAAGGAGAAAAAAGAGUCAGGACCACAGGCACCUCAGAGACUGAGAUGUCGGCUAUCUGCCAGGAAUACAGGAGCACCUCAGCCACCGCCGUGACAUUCUCUGACUCGUCACUGUUGAAGACGCAAUCCUCGGACUCUGGGAACAACAGGGAGGCACUAAGCCAUGGUCCCAGAAAAAUCAAGGCCACCCAGGGCCAGAGGCAGAGCCUUAGCAAGACUGAGCCCACCCAGAGCCAGAGGCGGAACUCCAGCAAGACCAAGGCCACUAUACACAAGAGGAACUCCAGCAAGACCAAGGCCACCCAAAGCCAGAGGCGGAACUCCAGCAAGACCAGGGCCACCCAGGGCCAGGGGCAGAGCUCCAGCAAGACUGAGGCCACUCAGGGCCAGAGGCAGAGCUCCAGCGAGAUUGAGGCCACCCAGGGCCCAAGGCAGGAGCCCAGCAAGACCAAGACCACCCGGAGCCCAAGGCAGAGGCCCAGAAAGGUCAAGGCUGCUCGUGGCCGGAGCUGGAGACCCAGCAAGGUUGAUGCCACCCAGGGCCGAAGCAGGGGACUGCUCCGAAGUUCCACCAAGACUGAGGCUUUCUAUGACUCAAACUGGAGCCUCAGCAAAACUGAGUAUGCCCAAGGCCAGGGCCAGAGGUCCAGCAAGGCUGAGGGUGCCCAGGGCAAGAGCCAGGGCAUGAGCUCAACUUCCAGCAAGGCCGAGUCCACCUGGGGACCCAGCCCAAGUCUCAGCAAAACUGAGGUUGAUCAGGACCUCACCUACUAUGAAGCUGUCUGAAGGGACCAUCCAGACCCUCCCUUCUUGCUGGGGAGGGGACGAGUUCUACCCACCUCCCCACACUGGCACUCAGCCAGCUGCCUCCUUCCAGAGCAAUUAAAAGUCUUAGCAACAGUC
rnacentral:lncRNA from 1 species